rnacentral:rRNA from 1 species
GGGGGGGGGGGGGGGGGGGCGGGACACGGGGGGGGCGGGCUGCAGGGCCUGCUUUCCGUUGUGGAGUGCGGGUACUCGGGUGGCGAGCGGGUGAGUAACACGUGAGUGAUCUGCCCCCAACUUGGGGCUCCGCCUGGGACACUGGGUCUCCUUCCCGGUAGGACUGCCGGGUGGUGCCUGUGGUGGGAAACGAUUUUCUAGUGGUUCUGGAUGAGCUCGCUGCCUAUCAGCUGGUCUGUGGGGUAAUGGCGUACCAAUGCGGCGACGGGUAGCCGGUCCGAGAGGGUGGACGGCCACAUGGGGACUGAGAGACGGCCCAGACUCCGACGGGAGGCAGCAGUGGGGAAUAUUGAACAAGGGGCGGAAGCCUGAUGCAGCGACGCCGCGUGGGGGAUGACGGCCUUCGGGUUGUAAACUCCUUUCGACCGCGAGGAAGCCACCUGGUUGGAAGGGUGGUGACGGUAGUGGUAGAAGAAGAACCGGCUAACUAAGUG